rnacentral:rRNA from 1 species
AUUGAACGCUGGCGGCAGGCCUAACACAUGCAAGUCGAGCGAGCGGCGGACGGGUGAGUAAUGUCUGGAAACCUGCCUGAUGGAGGUGGAUCACUACUGGAAACGGUAGCUAAUAACGCAUACCAUCAGAUGUGCCCAGAUGGGAUGAGCUAGUAGGUGGGGUAACGGCUCACCUAGGCGACGAUCCCUAGCUGGUGUGAUAGGAUGACCAGCAACACGGGAACUGAGACACGGUCCAGACUCCUACGAGAGGCAGCAGUGGGGAAUAUUGCACAAUGGGCGCAAGCCUGAUGCAGCCAUGCCGCAUGUGUGAAGAAGGCCUUCGGGUUGUAAAGCACUUUCAGCGGGGAGGCGUUACCCGCAGAAGAAGCACCGGCUAACUCCGUGCCAGCAGCCGCGGUAAUUC